AUGAAAAGGUGGAGUUUGAGGCUGGAUAGACAGUUUGAAAGGGCUCCUGUGACAAGUGGACAUGCAGUGACUGUACCUUUUGUACCUUUGUUUCUGAGGUGCCUGGAUGGAGGCUCAAAUAGAAGAUGGUGUCAGAUAUAUUGUGUUGUCAAAAUUUUACCAUUAAAGUGUAUUAUAACAUGAAUUGUGAAGUGUGCAUUUUGUUCUGAUGAGCACAUUGUGGGGAGUUCACAUUAGACAUUUUAAAAUCUAUUAGCUGCCCAGUGACUGGAUGGUAUUGGUGUCAGUAUAGUUUGUCUUUUUGUGCUUAUAAGCACAAGCCAUUUUUCUGUUUGACAUUUUAAAUUCAUAGGAACAGCGUUAACCAGAACUGGGCUGGUGGAGUUGGUAUUUUCACUUUUAGCAGGUGACAGUGUCUGCUAAGUCUUACAUCCUGAAUGUCUAAUCAGUUAUGCAGUCUGAGUGGGUACACCAGCCCUUUAAAGGUCUGGAGAUGGCCUGUAGGGGCACAGGUGUGAGGGAAAAUUUGAAGUAUAUAAACCUGGAAGGUAAAAGCCUAGACCUUGCAGUCCUGUUAAAGUGUUGUCCCCAUGCCUAGGACUUUUGCAGUUAAUAUAUACCACCAGGCCUAACUCAGUAUUCUUAAUUAGAAGGAACACAGGCUAAUUGGGUCUUAGGUUUGAUACUGUUCACUCUGGUCUGUUGGGCUCAGUUCUUGAGACUACUGAAAAACUACAUCCCUUAAUUUAACAAGUCCAGUUUGGGAUUCAUGCUGGGUGUGGUGGCCCCAAAGGAGAAGUUGAGGCUAUUUUUAGUCCUUUGGCUGUAGAUAGUAUAGGUAACUGGUCAGGGGUCCUUAGAGCAAUAGUUCCAGGCAAAAUGUGUAGGUAUUUGGAGCUGCCACUUAACUAGAGUCCGGGGGAGGUACAAGCUUUAGUCCCUGGGAAUGGGGGCAGUGUUUCAAUGUUCAACAGAGUUACCCUGGAACACAUAGCUAAACAUCUCAUUUGGUGAUUUAUAUAUUCUACACAUACAGUCCCAUCACAUUCUUGGGUUGUAAGGAUUUAAAUUUUUCACAUGCUAGUCACAUACCUUUCCUGUCAUUUUGUUAAAAGUGUUCCAUUUGUGUGGUAAUGCAUGUGUGAAGAGGUCAGGAUGACCUACACAAGUAUUUCACAAUGUG
rnacentral:lncRNA from 1 species